GGCCGCCCCGGGGCCGCGCCCUGAGGCCGCGGCGGCGGCGAACUUUGCUCCGAGCGGCAACGCAGCGGCCGGCGAAGCCGACGCGCCGCGACCGCGCCGGGAGGAUAACGGCGACUUGGGGACGGGGACGGCGCCUGACGCCACGGCGAGCGCCGGCGGCGGCACGAGCGGCGGAGGAGCCCUGCUGCACGCCUCCCUGUGUAACGCGCGUUGCCAGAUGCGGAUUUGUGCUGCUUCUUUCACAGCCAUGCACUCGCUGCUACUUUCCCGGUCCAAGCACGGAAAUGUGAAGCAUGCUGCUUUCCGACAUGAUGGAUUUUCAUUUCAAUAUCGGUUUACAUUUUCCACAAUACUCGGUAACAGGCAGAAGGUACACUUACACAUCAUUCAGAAUACUGGCAAGACUGACAAUUUAAAGUGCAUGAUAAAAGAACUUUAAAUAAACCCAAAAUUUCUCACUGGCGUUCCCUUAAGAGUUGCUGUCUAUACAACGGUAAUAUUUUACAUUUAUGUUGCAACUUUCAUACAAAAAGAGCUCUAAGAACUUUGAUGAUGAUAUUGCUGAUGGUGAAUAGGAUAAUAGUCCAUUUGACAGAUUUCCUGUGCAAUGGUGUAGAAGCCGUCAUGCUAUAGGAAUAAUGUUCCACUGCAUUUCUGAAGUUUCAAAAUCUACUCCACUAAUACUGCCAGAGAUCAGGAAGUUUAUGAAAACAAUUUUCAGAUUUUAAAGCUGUUUAAGUACAGCUGAAAACAGUAAAGAGGACAUGGAAUACUGACUGUGACACCAGACUUGUUUCAACAUAGAAGAACACAGAAAAGGAAAGUAAUGCACUUGCUAAUUCACCGUGUAAGGAAAACGCAGCCCUGACCUUACGUUCCUCCUGCCCGGGAAGAACGCGGAUGACAAACCCAAGCGUGUGCAAGUGGCGCCGGAAAACGAGCAAGGCGGGUGCAAGCUGCUGCGGGGCCCCCUGAGGAGCGAGUAGUGCCAGGUAACGCGACGCUCACAGCCCGGCCAGCGGGCCUGACUCAACACACACAUCUGUGUCUUACAGAAAAGAGUAACUUUGCAAGGUAGAAAGGAUCCGAAUGUGGCAGAAACGCAUACACAAACACUGAGAACAGGUAUCUAACACAUCAGUCACAGUGUAUGCAAGUGUAUACUGGAACUGUAUAAUGUAUGGUCUGUAAAAGCUUCAACUAAAAGCCCUGAGAUGCUAGGGAUCCCAGGCUGACAGGAGAUGAUCUCAGAACCACCAAGGACUUCAAGUUCUGUAUAUAACUGGUUAUUUUGGCCAUCACAUUGUUGCCACUAACUACUAAUGUAGACACACAGCUUUAAAAUGUAAGACUGAAAUAGGAAAUGUUGUCUCUGCUUUAAGACCCAGGUAAUAGAGUAAAUGAAAUGAGUAAAGAAGGCUGAGAAAUAUAGGCAGAAAAGUGAGGGGAGCAUGUUAACUUCUGGAAGUGUGAAAAAAACAUGUAGUUUCUAUCAAGCCAAAGUCUGACCAAAUUAUCUUUUCUUCUCAUUUAUUUGUUGCAUUUCAUUUAUUUACAUAAUUACUAUUUAGUUUUGCUAACUUUUUUAUUGCAUUGAAUAUCUCUUCAUCCCAGCAUCAUGAGGUAGUAGCUGUAGUCAGGAGGACACUGCCUGUCAGCAGCAUGGCAGCCUUUGUUGUAAUUACAGCUAUGGAUAAAAAUAAAAACU